GGAAAAGGAAAUUUUAUCACACUGAGGCACUCAUGAUAACCCUAAGGAGUUAAAGAAGAUUAAUUUAGCAGAAUUAAUAUGGUGAUUAAAGCUUGUAUACAGUGAGGCCAAAACUACAUUACAAUGGACUCUGGACUCUUCACUACACUACAUAGAUCUCACAAGGAUUGGCCAUCAGCGGCAAGCUCUUAGCACUAAUAACUUUCUGUAGACUAGUGACAGCUUGAGAGGCGGCCAUCUUUAAUUCAGAAGAAAGCAACUUUAGAAACCAUCUCUACUCUUCUCAGAUAAAGAUCAGUGCAGACAAAUCUAAGAAAUCAAAGCUAUCCAGAGUCUUCAAAGGUUCUUAAAGAAGAAUAAGCCCUGAGGUUAAAAAAAAAUUGGAAAAUAAAAUAAAAAUGCUUUAUACAAAUUUAUGAAAA